rnacentral:rRNA from 1 species
AACGCGAAGAACCUUACCUGGUCUUGACAUCCUCGGAAUCUGCCAGAGAUGGCGGGGUGCCCGCAAGGGACUAGAGUCGAGGUGCUGCAUGGCUGUCGUCAGCUCGUGUCGUGAGAUGUUGGGUUAAGUCCCGCAACGAGCGCAACCCUUGUCCUGUGUUGCUAACCGAAAGGUGCACUCUCAGGAGACCGCCAGCGAUAAGUUGGAGGAAGGUGGGGAUGACGUCAAGUCCUCAUGGCCUUUAUGUCCAGGGCUACACACGUGCUACAAUGGGCGGUACAAAGCGCUGCAAACCCGCGAGGGAGAGCUAAUCGCAAAAAACCGUCCUCAGUUCGGAUUGCAGGCUGCAACUCGCCUGCAUGAAGCUGGAAUCGCUAGUAAUGGCAUAUCAGAAUGAUGCCGUGAAUACGUUCCCGGGCCUUGUACACACCGACGCAC